ensembl:lncRNA novel transcript
AGGCCUCCUAAUCGGGGGCAGACAGGCAGGGAGGGUGUGGCUGGGCUGGGCUGGGCGGGGCGGCCUGGGGCAGGGGUGUGGCCCCUAAAUGUCCCCAACCUCAGAGGGACCUAGAGUCCUGAGCCUCCAGUAGCUUCUCUGGGCCUGGCAGAGCCUCCCGGCAUGGUGCUCAAGGCCUUCUUCCCCACGUGCUGCGUCUCGACGGACAGCGGGCUGCUGGUGGGACGGUGGGUGCCGGAGCAGAGCAGCGCCGUGGUCCUGGCGGUCCUGCACUUUCCCUUCAUCCCCAUCCAGGUCAAGCAGCUCCUGGCCCAGGUGCGGCAGGCCAGCCAGGUGGGCGUGGCCGUGCUGGGCACCUGGUGCCACUGCCGGCAGGAGCCCGAGGAGAGCCUGGGCCGCUUCCUGGAGAGCCUGGGUGCUGUCUUCCCCCAUGAGCCCUGGCUGCGGCUGUGCCGGGAGAGAGGCGGCACGUUCUGGAGCUGCGAGGCCACCCACCGGCAAGCGCCCACUGCCCCCGGUGCCCCUGGUGAGGACCAGGUCAUGCUCAUCUUCUAUGACCAGCGCCAGGUGUUGCUGUCACAGCUACACCUGCCCACCGUCCUGCCCGACCGCCAGGCUGGAGCCACCACUGCCAGCACGGGGGGCCUGGCUGCCGUCUUCGACACGGUAGCACGCAGUGAGGUGCUCUUCCGCAGUGACCGCUUUGAUGAGGGCCCCGUGCGGCUGAGCCACUGGCAGUCGGAGGGCGUGGAGGCCAGCAUCCUCGCGGAGCUGGCCAGGCGAGCCUCGGGACCCAUUUGCCUGCUGUUGGCCAGCCUGCUGUCGCUGGUCUCAGCUGUCAGUGCCUGCCGAGUGUUCAAGCUCUGGCCCCUGUCCUUCCUCGGGAGCAAACUCUCCACGUGCGAACAGCUCCGGC